GAUUCCGUAAUGCAGUGGUUAUCACGUGUGCCUAACACGCACAAGGUCCCUGGUUCGAGCCCGGGCAGAAUCA
rnacentral:tRNA from 1 species